rnacentral:lncRNA from 1 species
AGAGAAGAAGACCUGGAUUUUCUGCUUUCUAGUUUUGUGUCCUUGUGCCCGUUAAUGAGAAUGAGUAAAUAGGCUACCUCAGAUAUUUACUACUGGAGAUGAAAAAGGGAGGAUUUCUCCUGAGAAUUAAGUCUAGCACCUGUGGUGCCUCAGUAUUUCAACAGGAUGCGUGGGAGUGAUCAGGGCUCAGGCAGUGGGAGUGGGAGGUCAGCUCCAGAUGCUUUUUCUGGAGGUUUGAUUGCAGGUGAAUACCUGCACUGUUAUCAGCGGAAGUAAAACAGUCAGCGGACCACAUGGAGAUGUACUUACCUAGAUAAGACAAAGGAAGGC